UAGACCCAGGAAGAUCGCCAAAGU
rnacentral:piRNA from 1 species